GGAACAGCCUAGAAGCAGGGCCUGGAACUGCAGGAUACACUCCCCUCCUGCUACCUAGGCAGGCGUGAGGGUGUGACGGCCGCGCAUUCGCCAGACGAGAGCGAUGGCUGAGAACGCCGCACCAGGUCUGAUCUCAGAGCUGAAGCUGGCUGUGCCCUGGGGCCACAUCGCAGCCAAAGCCUGGGGCUCCCUGCAGGGCCCUCCAGUUCUCUGCCUGCACGGCUGGCUGGACAAUGCCAGCUCCUUCGACAGACUCAUCCCUCUUCUCCCGCAAGACUUUUAUUACGUUGCCAUGGAUUUCGGAGGUCAUGGGCUCUCGUCCCAUUACAGCCCAGGUGUCCCAUAUUACCUCCAGACUUUUGUGAGUGAGAUCCGAAGAGUUGUGGCAGCCUUGAAAUGGAAUCGAUUCUCCAUUCUGGGCCACAGCUUCGGUGGCGUCGUGGGCGGAAUGUUUUUCUGUACCUUCCCCGAGAUGGUGGAUAAACUUAUCUUGCUGGACACGCCGCUCUUUCUCCUGGAAUCAGAUGAAAUGGAGAACUUGCUGACCUACAAGCGGAGAGCCAUAGAGCACGUGCUGCAGGUAGAGGCCUCCCAGGAGCCCUCGCACGUGUUCAGCCUGAAGCAGCUGCUGCAGAGGUGGGUGCCCGGUGUGGACGGGGAGCUGGUGGGGUCCAGGGGAGGACAUCCCGUGAGACGUGGAGAAGCUUCUUUCUCCCUCUCACCCAACAAGCCUGUUUCUCCCUGGGGUCACGCUGAGCACCAGGCUUCCCAGGGUCUUCAGGGACGUUCUCUCUUUCCCUCUGCCCCUGCUCCAGCCAUGCCCCUUACUUCCAAUACCCUCCCCACACCUCUCACGCACCCGCCUCUCUCCCAAGCACAUGCUGCUUCCACGCCUUCUCUCCCCUCUGGGACUCCAGCCUGGGCUCCCUUACCUGGAAUUCUCCCCUGUGCUUGCUCACUGGCUUCCCCACUCCUUGGGGCCUCAGCUGGGAACCCUGCCCUGACACCCCCAGGCAAGCUGUCCCUGCCCUGCAGGUAACCACACUGUCCAAUAAGAGCCUAUUGAUUCCUCUGUUUCCCGAGGCAUGUGAACUCCGCAACCCCCACUAUGGCUGAUUUGGUCAUCUUUGUGCCUCCUGCAUCUGGCAGUGGGCCUGGUAGGUCAGAGCUCCACACAUAUUUGUUGUCUGAAGGAGGAGAAGCCCCCCACUGCCCCACCACACGCACGCGCACACACACCCACACACACACACCCUGCCGCUGUAAACAUGCAAUCGAAACACGGGACACAGGCCAGGCGCAGUGGCUCACACCUGUAAUCCCAGCACAUUGGGAAGCUGAGGUGGGAAGAUAGCUUGAGCCCAGGAGUUAGAGACCAGCCUGAGCGAGAUAGCGAGACCCUGUAUUUAAAAAAAAAAAAAAAAAAAAAUUAGCUGGUCGUGGUGGCACACGCCUGUGGUCCCAGCUACUCAGCAGCCUUAGUUGGGAGGAGUGCUUAGCCCCAGGAGGUCGAGGCUGCAGACAGCCAUGAUCAUGCCACUGCACUCCAGUUUGGGUGACAGUGAGACCCUGUUUCAAAAGGAAAACAAGGGCCGGGCACGGUGGCUCACGCCUGUAAUCCCAGCUACUCAGGAGGCUGAGGCAGGAGAAUCGCUUGAAUGGGAGGCAGAGGUUGCCGUGAGCCGAGAGAGCACCACUGCACUGCAGCCUGGGCGACAGAGCGAGACUCCAUCUCAAGAAAAAAAAAAAAAAAGAAAUUACAUAGGUGACAUAAUACAUAAUGAUUGUCAAUUUAACCGUUUGUAAGUGUGCACUUCAGUGGCAUUAAAUACAGUCGAUGGAGGUGAGGAGAGGAGGGAGACAUCCCAGGCACUGGCUGCUGCACAGGGAAAAGCUCGAAGUCAGCUCGGUGCAUCUGUUGAGAGGGGGAUUCCUGAUAGAGGCUGUGAAGAUUAAAGAGGGGAGGGGCAGGAUGACAAAGGUUCUCAAAAAACAGCGUCCCAUCUGGAGGCCUGUGUCACUGGAGACUUGUAUUAAUAGAAACUUGGCCAUCUCUGCCAGUGAGGGGCUGUAGGACCUUGGGCAAGGUGCUUACCCUCUCUGAGCCUUGGUUGUCUCACGUGCAAAAAGAAAGUGCUUUCAUUCGCUCAGCUGGUUUAUGAGCAGCUUGGCUAGGGGAGCCAAGCCCUGGGCCUGCCUUUGAAGGGUUGUUGUCGAGACUAGGUGAGGUCAUGUGUGUUGAGUGGCCUCGCACAGUGCUGUCGCUUCAGGUGCUCAUGGCCUGUGCUAUUUUGUGAUUGUUAAAAUAUGGUAGAACAUUGGACACAUGUGAGACACUGUCAUUAGAGGUGGGGAUGCUCUAACUGCAGGGAGACCGCUGAGAGCUGCUGCCCAGGCCCAGGCCAAGAGAUGAGGCUUGGACCAGGGCGUCAGCCAAUGGUCUGGGAAUGUUAACGUGUUUGUCUUUGAUCCGUGUGGGAUUUGUUCUUGAGCAUGGUGUCAGAUAGUGAUUCAUUUUCUUUUUUUUUUUUCAUGUUUUAAAAGUUCUAUUUUUCUUUAUUAUUAUUAUUAUUAUUAUUAUAUUAUUAUUAUUAUUGAUACAGAGUCUCGCUCUUGUUGCAAAGGCUGGAGUGCAAUGGCACCAUCUCAGCUCACUGCAACGUUCGCCUCCCAGGUUCGAGUGAUUCUCCUGUCUCAGCCCCCAAGUAGCUGGGAUUACAGGCACCCACCACCACACCUGGCUAAUUUUUGUGUUUUUAGUGGAGAUGGGGUUUCACCAUGUUGUCCAGGCUGGUCUCGAACUCCUGACCUCAGGUGAUCUGCCUGCCUCGACCUCCCAAAGUGCUGGGAUUACAGGCAUGAGCCACAGUGUUCGGUCUAUUUGAAUUGUAGAGACAGGGUCUCCCUCUGUCACCCAGACUGGAGUGCCAUGGCUCAAUCAUGGCUCACGCAGCCUCAACCUCCUGGGCUGAAGUGAUCUUCCCACCUCAGCCUCCCGAGUAGCUAGGACUACAGGUGUGCGCUAUCACACCCAGCUAAGUUUUUUACUUUUGUAGAGACAGGGUCGUGCCAUGUUGCCCAGGCUGGUCUUGAAUGCCUGGGCUCAAGCUAUCCUCCCGCCUGUUUCCCAAAGUACUGGGAUUAUAGGUGUGAGCCACUGCAGCCAGCCAUUGUAAUUGUUUUUCUAGAUGAACAGCUAGUUAUUCCAAUACCAGCUGUUGGGUGGUCCUCCCUACCCACUAAGGCUCACUCACUGGUGGUUUGUCCCUUGUGUGUGCUGACCUUCGUGGUGGGAGUUUAUUGCCAGAUCCUAGUCAAUCUGACUUUUGGAGAUGCCCCUUUCCCUGUCCUUAGGGACCAUGUCUUAUGUGACCUGAUCUGUAGUGGGAUCUGUGAUCACCCAUAAUGCUGGAAGGAGGAGGCUUCCCAGGGAUGGAAAGACUUCGUUAGGACAUAAACUAAAUUGCAGAAGAUACACAUUCCAAGAUGGGGCUGGCCCAAAAUUCUUUUUUUUUAUUUUUAUUUUUUAAAUUUCUGGCCAGGUGCAGUGGCUCACGCCUGUAAUCCCAGCACUUUAGGAGGCCGAGGCAGGCAGAUCACUUGAGGCCAGGAGUUAAAGACCAGCCUGGCCAACAUGGUGAAACCCUGUCUCUACCAAAAAAUACAAAAAUUAGCCGGGAGUGGUGACACACACCUGUAGUCCCAGCCACUUGGGAGGCUGAGGCAGGAGAAUCGCUUGAACCCGGGAGGCGGAGGUUGCGGUAAGCUGAGAUCACGCCAUUGCACUCCAGCCUGGGCAACAAGAGCAAAAAAAAAAAAAAAAAAAGGUUCUAUAAAUUCUUCUCAUAUUUUUAUUUAACAUCCACAAUGUGAUUUAAGAUGUAAUCAACAUAAAGCUUGAUUGCAUUAUUUUGCAUGCUGUUUUCCAAAUCCAGCUUCGUGUCACACCUACAGCACAUCUCACUCAAGCUGGCCACAUCCCCGCCAUCCAGACGUAAAACAGUCACAAGACAGGGCAGGCAGGGCCGCGGAGGAGGCUGGCUGGGGCCAUCACGGAGUGCCCAUCCUGCACUGUGGUCCCAGCAAGUUUCUUUCUCCUGGCAAGAAGCCUGUCCCAGGCUGGCAGGGGACAGCGUGAGGUGCAGCCUAUGGACUGGGAAAGGGGUGUGGAAGGGCCACACCUAAGUCCUAAAAUCCAGGCCCAAAAGUGGCCCAACUCACUUCUCUGACUUUAAUCACACAGCCAUACCUGGUGGCAAAGGAGUAUUGGAAAUGGAGUCAGGCUGGGUAGCCACGAGCCCAGGAAGAGGGGAGAACAGACUUGGAGAGGGCAGGAGUCUCUGGCCACCAGGGGCUAAAGAGCCUUCGAUGAGGCAGUGAUGUGGGGUCCUGGGCUCAGACCCAGGGUGGGUGGCUAAGGUGCCCUCGCCAGGGCUUAGCCACCCCAACAGAGAUGGGUUUCGUGCCCACGAGAGUGCCUGUGCCUUGUGACGAGAAUUCACCAUGUUUUUGUCUCUGCAGGCAGAGAACAGCAUUGACUUCGUCAGCAGGGAGCUGUGUGCGCAUUCCAUCAGGAAGCUGCAGGCCCAUGUCCUGUUGAUCAAAGCAGUCCACGGAUAUUUUGAUCCAAGAGAGAAUUACUCUGACAAGGAGUCCCUGUCGUUCAUGAUAGACACAAUGAAAUCCACCCUCAAAGAGGACUACUUCGGAUACAAUCACAGCAACCCUGGCCUCGGCCCUGCCCUGUCCCUGCCAUGCAACUUCACAACUCAGCUGGCCUAGACCCCUGGGAGGCCUCCAAGUCCCUAAGCGGUUCCAGUUUGUGGAAGUCCCAGGCAAUCACUGUGUCCACAUGAGCGAACCCCAGCACGUGGCCAGUAUCAUCAGCUCCUUCUUACAGUGCACACACACGCUCCCAGCCCAGCCUAGGAUGGUAGUCAGGGGAAGGAGCGAGAUUCCAACUUCAAC
rnacentral:lncRNA from 1 species